UACGUAGGGGGCAAGCGUUGUCCGGAAUCAUUGGGCGUAAAGCGCGUGUAGGCGGUUCGGUAAGUCUGCUGUGAAAGUCCAGGGCUCAACCCUGGGAUGCCGGUGGAUACUGUCGGACUAGAGUACGGAAGAGGCGAGUGGAAUUCCCGGUGUAGCGGUGAAAUUCGUAGAGAUCAGGUGGAACACCGGAGGCGAAGGCGCCUGCCUGGCAGUGUAUUGACGCUGAGGUGCGAAAGUGCGGGGAGCAAACAGG
rnacentral:rRNA from 1 species